rnacentral:rRNA from 1 species
UACGAAGGGGGCUAGCGUUGCUCGGAAUCACUGGGCGUAAAGGGUGCGUAGGCGGGUCUUUAAGUCAGGGGUGAAAUCCUGGAGCUCAACUCCAGAACUGCCUUUGAUACUGAAGAUCUUGAGUCCGGGAGAGGUGAGUGGAACUGCGAGUGUAGAGGUGAAAUUCGUAGAUAUUCGCAAGAACACCAGUGGCGAAGGCGGCUCACUGGCCCGGUACUGACGCUGAGGCGCGAAAGCGUGGGGAGCAAACAGGG